rnacentral:rRNA from 1 species
GUCUUGUAAUUGGAAUGAUGGUGACCUAAACCCUCACCAGAGUAACAAUUGGAGGGCAAGUCUGGUGCCAGCAGCCGCGGUAAUUCCAGCUCCAAUAGCGUAUAUUAAACUUGUUGCAGUUAAAAAGCUCGUAGUUGAAUUUCUGCGUUAUCGAGUUAUUGACUCUUGUCUUUAAUCGAUUUCGCUUUUGGGAUUUAUCCCUUUUUACUUUGAGAAAAUUAGAGUGUUUCAAGCAGACUUUUGUCUUGAAUACUUCAGCAUGGAAUAAUAGAGUAGGACUUUGGUUCUAUUUUGUUGGUUUUUGAACCUUAGUAAUGGUUAAUAGGAACGGUUGGGGGCAUUCGUAUUUAACUGUCAGAGGUGAAAUUCUUAGAUUUGUUAAAUUACGAACUACUGCGAAAGCAUUUGCCAAGGACGUUUCCAUUAAUCAAGAACGAAAGUUAGGGGAUCGAAACGAUCAGAUACCGUCCGUAGUCCUAACCAUAAACUA